rnacentral:rRNA from 1 species
CAAGUCGAGGGGCAGCAGGACUGUAGCAAUACAGUUGCUGGCGACCGGCAAACGGGUGCGGAACACGUACGCAACUUACCCAAAACUGGGGAAUAGCCCGGGGAAACCCGGAUUAAUACCUCGUAAGAUAAUGAAGUGGCAUCACUUUAUUAUUAUAGCUCCGGCGGUUUUGGAUGGGCGUGCGCCUGAUUAGGUAGUUGGCGGGGUAACGGCCCACCAAGCCUGCGAUCAGUAACUGGUGUGAGAGCACGACCAGUCACACGGGCACUGAGACACGGGCCCGACUCCUACGGGAGGCAGCAGUAAGGAAUAUUGGUCAAUGGACGCAAGUCUGAACCAGCCAUGCCGCGUGAAGGAUGAAGGUCCUCUGGAUUGUAAACUUCUUUUAUAUGGGAAGAAACCCACUUUUUCUUGAGUGGUUGACGGUACCAUAGGAAUAAGCACCGGCUAACUCCGUGCCAGCAGCCGCGGUAAUACGGAGGGUGCAAGCGUUAUCCGGAUUCACUGGGUUUAAAGGGUGCGUAGGAGGACAGGUAAGUCAGUGGUGAAAUCUCCAAGCUUAACUUGGAAACUGCCGUUGAUACUAUCUGUCUUGAAUACCGUGGAGAUGAGCGGAAUAUGUCAUGUAGCGGUGAAAUGCUUAGAUAUGACAUAGAACACCAAUUGCGAAGGCAGCUCGUUACACGAAUAUUGACUCUGAGGCACGAAAGCGUGGGGAUCAAACAGGAUUAGAUACCCUGGUAGUCCACGCCCUAAACGAUGGAUACUCGACAUACGCGAUACACAGUGUGUGUCUGAGCGAAAGCAUUAAGUAUCCCACCUGGGAAGUACGACCGCAAGGUUGAAACUCAAAGGAAUUGGCGGGGGUCCGCACAAGCGGUGGAGCAUGUGGUUUAAUUC